AGUGGCGCACGGGUGAGUAACACGUGACUAACCUACCCUGAGUGGGGAAUAACUUCGGGAAACCGAGGCUAAUACCGCAUAAUACCCACGGGUCAAAGGAGCAAUUCGCUUGAGGAGGGGGUCGCGGCCGAUUAGUUAGUUGGCGGGGUAAUGGCCCACCAAGACAGUGAUCGGUAUCCGGCCUGAGAGGGCGCACGGACACACUGGAACUGAAACACGGUCCAGACUCCUACGGGAGGCAGCAGUGGGGAAUUUUGCGCAAUGGGGGAAACCCUGACGCAGCAACGCCGCGUGGAGGAUGAAGUCUCUUGGGACGUAAACUCCUUUCGAUCGGGACGAUUAUGACGGUACCGGAAGAAGAAGCCCCGGCUAACUUCGUG
rnacentral:rRNA from 1 species